rnacentral:lncRNA from 1 species
AGCUUGUACACGCCUUUAACCUACAGAUGACUUCUUUGUUAAAGAUAGAGGCAGUUCUUAUCACCGUUCUGUUGUGCUUUCUUUGCUCUCAACUUGCAUCUUCAGUGGCAGAAGAGACCAAUUACCCUAAUGGAGCAGAGAUAACAUUC